UCCUGCCGGAAUCCGACGCUCUCCCCAAGGACACAAGCCAUGCAUGCCCGCGCACCCGGGAGGCGGCGGACGGCUCAGGACAACGGUUGCACCCCCCGCGGCGGUCCCUGCUAGCCGGACACCGCUGGCAACCCGGCGCCAAGACGUGCGCGCAAGGGCGGGCGCCCGCGGGCGAGCAGCGUGACGCAGCGACGGCCCGCCCGGGCUUCCGGGGCAUCACCCGGUCGGCGCGGUCGCGGCGCGCCGAGGGCCCGACGCCUGGCGGAGAAUCAGGGUUC
rnacentral:rRNA from 1 species